CAUGUUGAUGGAUAUGGGGAAGCUUCAUAGAGUGUAGCAGGUAGUGAUUACAGCCCAGUUUAUUACUAAAUUUAUUUACAAUCAUACAUGGGUGCUGUCAUUGAUGCAGAAAUAUACUGGAGGAGAGAUCUUGAGACGGAUGUCAUACGAUUUGCUACAAACUACAUAACACUUGAUAGCCUUCUGCAGAAAAAAAUAGCCUUGCAUC
rnacentral:lncRNA from 1 species